CCGAUGCUUAUGUAAAGAAGGCAUUGGGAAAAAGAUGGAGAGACCAUAAGAGCACUUUAAAGAAAGACUAUUUUAAGACAAAAACAACACUCGACGAGAGAUUACAAAAUGUCCCGCCGGGAAUGCUGAGGUACCAGUGGGAAGAGGUCGUUAGAUUUUGGACUUCGAAGAAAGGAGAGGAUCGUGAAGAAGUUGGAAAAAAAAGUAGGUAGCAACAAAAAUUCACUCACACAGCUGGGUCGAAAAGUUUUGCGUGUGUAGCUCAUGCAGAGGAAUUGUCGUCCGGUCAAAAAGUUGGACGCCUUCAACUUUUUGACAUUACACAUAGGAAGAAAGAUGGAAACCCUAUGACUCCUGAAGCUGCAGAAAUUAUGGAAAAAUUAAAGGAUAAAAAGGCGGAGUACGAAGCGAUUGUUUCCAGUGAUAGUUCUGUUCAUCUUGACGACAUUGAU